GACGAGUGGCGGACGGGUGAGUAAUGUCUGGGAAACUGCCCGAUGGAGGGGGAUAACUACUGGAAACGGUAGCUAAUACCGCAUAACGUCGCAAGACCAAAGAGGGGGACCUUCGGGCCUCUUGCCAUCGGAUGUGCCCAGAUGGGAUUAGCUAGUAGGUGGGGUAACGGCUCACCUAGGCGACGAUCCCUAGCUGGUCUGAGAGGAUGACCACCCACACUGGAACUGAGACACGGUCCAGACUCCUACGGGAGGCAGCAGUGGGGAAUAUUGCACAAUGGGCGCAAGCCUGAUGCAGCCAUGCCGCGUGUAUGAAGAAGGCCUUCGGGUUGUAAAGUACUUUCAGCGAGGAGGAAGGUGUUGUGGUUAAUAACCGCAGCAAUUGACGUUACUCGCAGAAGAAGCACCGGCUAACUCCGUGCCAGCAGCCGCGGUAAUACGGAGGGUGCAAGCGUUAAUCGGAAUUACUGGGCGUAAAGCGCACGCAGGCGGUCUGUCAAGUCGGAUGUAAAAUCCCCGGGCUCACCUGGGAACUGCUCCGAAACUGGCAGGCUAGAGUCUUGUAGAGGGGGG
rnacentral:rRNA from 1 species